rfam:Weissella koreensis KACC 15510, complete genome.
UGGGGUAUAGCCAAGCGGUAAGGCAGUGGUUUUUGGUACCAUGCAGCGUAGGUUCGAUUCCUACUACCCCAA